rnacentral:misc_RNA from 1 species
CAAAACAAGCGUUUUAUACAUCUAGAUGAAGGAUAGUGACCCUGACCCCGCGGUGCCCUCAAAAACGAAACUAGAAAUGUCACUGCAAGACAAAAAGGAAGCUUUUGUAACUUUAGCAACAAAUGACACAUAUUCACUAGGAUGUCUAGUGCUAGGAAAUUCAUUACGACGGGUCAAGACAACUCGACAGUUGGCUGUUAUGGUUUCAGUAGGAGUUUCAAAUCCAAUGAGGUCACAGUUAGCACAAGUGUUUGAUGUUAUACAGGAAGUAGAUGUAUUAGACAGCAAUGAUCCUAUAAACCUUUCGUUGCUAGGGAGACCAGACCUAAAUGUCACCUUCACAAAACUACACUGUUGGAGACUUACACAGUUUGAUAAAGCAGUUUUCUUAGAUGCUGACACUCUAGUAUUACAGAAUGUAGAUGAAUUAUUUGACCGAGAAGAACUUUCAGCUGCACCAGAUGCUGGUUGGCCUGAUUGCUUCAACUCGGGAGUGUUUGUUUUCAAACCGUCCUUAGAAACAUACCAGUCACUGCUAGAGUUUGCAACAUCACAAGGCAGCUUUGAUGGUGGUGAUCAGGGUCUACUCAAUAUGUACUUCAAGAAUUGGGCAACAGAAGACAUAUCAAAACACCUGCCUUUCAUAUAUAAUGUAGUAUCACAGGCUUUCUACAGCUAUCUUCCAGCGUUCACUCAAUUUAAAGACAGAGUAAAGAUUGUUCACUUCAUUGGUGCUGUCAAACCUUGGCAUCAUACAUUCGACACAAGCACGAGAACUGUACAACCAUUGCCAGGUACCGGCCACAGCCAGGAAUUCCUUCAAGUCUGGUGGAACAUUUUCAUGGACAUGGUCCAGCCCAAUCUAGAUCCCUCAUUGAGAGAGGAAUUAACCAUGGCACUUUUCGCUCCAUGGCCACCUCCUGUACGAGAUGAGCCUGAACAUAGCAAUGGAGAUAGUGCGUCACAUGAGAAUGUAGAACACAAGCCGCCAGUUGUGGAAGAGACUAUUCCCGUAGUUUUUCCAUAUAAACCUCCUGAUGUCGGCAAUUUGUUCUAUGAAGUAGAUAAGGAUGAUUCUGAAUGUAAUGGAACUGAAAAAAUUCUUGAAGAAGAAAAAAUUGUUGAAAUGACUGUCAUUCCAAGAAGUUAUUCAGAAUUAGAAUCACAUUAUGCAGAGGAACCAAUUUCACACAUUAACCCUUCAAAACCUCCGCCAGGAACAUUCAGUGCUCCGUGGAUCACUGAGGGAUGGGAGAAAGGAAUGAAAGGACCAGAUCCCAAACCCCCAGAUUUCACAGUCACUCACAAAAUUGAAGAAUCUAAAUCAGAAGCAUUAAAAACUAAUUCAGAGCCAGAAUCAAAAGAAAACAGUAUUAAUGAAACUGAGAAGUAUAACUCUUCUAGUCCAACAAAUAAUGAAGAAGAAAACUCUUCUGUUGGUCUUGCUGGAGAACUAGCGACAUUGACAGUCCAUGGUGCUCCCUCUCCGGCCACGCCACUCUCUGAUGCACAGCGGAAACUUAAUUGGGAAAGAGGUCAGAUAGACUACCUUGGUCAAGAUUCUUUCGAGAACAUUCAGAAAAAGAUUGAUGAGACUCUAAAUACAAGUGAACCAGCCCCGACUCCUGUAACCAUGGCAAGUCCUUUCACUCCAAAGUCAGCGACAAAUUCUAAGCCCAGACCAGAAGCUACAUCAGAAAUAAAGCCAGAGGUGUCAUCAACAGCAACUGUAAAACUACCGCCACCAGUUUCACAGCCAGUUGUAGAAGAAGCCCCAGCUCCACAGGUAAAGCCUACUGCCCCAGCCCCACAGGCAAAGCCUGCUGCCCCAGCCCCACAGGAAAAGCCUGCUGCCCCAGCCCCUCAGACAAAGUCUGUUGCCCCAGCCCCACAACCAAAGCCUGUUGCCCCAGCCCCACAGGCAAAGCCUGCUGCACCAGCCCCACAACCAAAGUUUGUUGCCCCAACCCCACAGGUAAAGCCUGUUGCCUAUGCCCCACAGGUAAAGCCUGUUGCCCCAGCCCCACAACCAAAGCCUGCUGCACCAGCCCCACAACCAAAGCCAUCUGCACCAGUUACACAGCCGAAGCCCCUUGUAUCAGCAACACAGCCAAAGUCGGUACCAGCAACACAGCCAAAGUCGGUACCAGCAACGCAGCCCACAGCUCAACCAAAGGUGACUCCAGUAAGGCCUCUAGUAAGGCCACAAACAACCUCCACUGCCCAGUCUAAUGUGGGUGCCACAGCAGCAUCUAGGGCCCCUGCACCUAGUGUACAGUCUAGGUUUGGUGCGACAACAGGAACCGCUAGGCCUGCUGCACCCACACAGCCAGCAACAAAAACGACUGGCUUAAAUAUUCAAACCUCAUCUAAAAAGAAAUGAGGCCAGUAUAAUCAUGUUAAGUUCAAUCAGUUGUUGACAAUUUGAAGAAAAAAACUGUUGCCAUAGUUUUAAGGACUUGGAUACACUGUUAAAUGAUAUGUUAAUGAGUUACAUAGCAGCUUAUGAGAUUAGGAUGUAAAAUGUAUCAAGUAAAGAUUAAUCGAGGGCUGGUCAAGUAGUUCAAGGAAUUUUUGUACAGGCGUAUACGAAAAUUAUUUUGAUUGGUUAUUUUAUUUCGUUUCAGUCUUCAUAAGUCUUGCAACCUUGAAUUUUCACUGCAGUUACCAAAGAUAAAUGACGUCUAAAUUGAUACGAGGGGAUAAGAUGCUUGCCGUUAAAGUCAAAGUGAAUUCACACACACUUUAAGUCACAGUUGUGUCUACCAUCACCGAGGUAAUGGACAAUUUAAUCAAUGGUGUCAGUUCCCAGCUUGGUUACAGAUUAAUUUCAAUGCUUAGUGUUAUGUUUUAAGAAUUCUGCCGUCAGUGGUUAGCUUCCCAGGCAAUAUUUGCAUGUAUAAUAUACAUUUAAAAGAAAUACAAUUUCCUUUAGACUUUAGUGUAUGAAAAUUUUAGUAUUUUCAGUGCGAGAUAUCAAAUAUCAAACAGUAUUUUGCCGAUUAACUGCAUAAUGUUUGUUUCAUUGGUAUGUCCAGUUCUAGAAAAUGAUAUGCUAGUCAUAGAAUAUGUAUACAAUUUUCUGUUUAAAACUUGUUAAGAUUUGCUUGAUUUGGUGCAGAUGUUGUUGUUUUUUUUUUCUUUACAAAAUUUGCCUUUUACUAAAAUUUAUCAUUUUUUAAUAAUUUGCCAUAAUAAGCAGAAGUGCUAUUUUUCUUGCUAUAAUGAUCUUUUAUAUUGUUGUAGUUGUUGUGUAUGUAUACAUCUAUUUGCUAUCUUUUAUCUUGUAUUAGGACUUAUUGUUAUUUGGCUUAUUUGAAAACAUCUAUUUUAUUUUUGAACUUUCUAUAUAAAACUCUCCAAUUUGCUUAUCUUUAGCUGGUUCAAAGUUUUAAAAGUUAUUUGUUUUACCAUGUUGUACUUAAAUAUUUACAUGUUUCUUAUUAAAAAAAAAAAACGCAUCCAGAGCAGGUAGAAUUAACUUAAAUAUUUACACUUUUACAGGUUUCUUAUAAAAAAACGUAUCCAGAGCAGGUAGAAUUAUACUCUCUUUUUUGUUUUGUAAAUUAAGGGAUGUUUCAGUAAGUUAAACAAAUAGAAUAUAUAUAUUUUUUUCUUUCUACCAUAUUAGAUAAUGAGAUGUAUUUUACUGUAAGUAUGUGAUGUUUUGUUGCUGUUUUUUUCCCUUAUUUUCACUUCUCUUUUUUUGCAGAAAAAUUGAAGAAUCUUUGUAUUUUCGUUUUUAUUGGCAUAAUUUUUCCUCAAAACAUUGCAGGCUUGUUCAGAAAUGUAUGUUUGAUUGUAGUAAAUGUGUUUUACAAGUGUUCCACAUCAUUUAAAGUCAUCAUGCACUCUUGUCCCAUUGACCGAAAUACAGUGACUGCAGACUGCAUUUUUAGGUGCAAAACUACAAAAAUCUUGAAACAGAUAGUUUGGACAGUACUGUCUGGAAUUUGCAGACAGCUCAAAUUAAUAAACAUUCCAACCAUCAAAAAAGACGAGGACGCUUGUAUGUCAGUGUCAAACCUUACAUGAUGGCAUCAGUGUCAGUCGGUCAAAAAUGAAUUGAAUUAUAAAAACAACCAAACAUCACUGCAGUGUGAGAAUGUUGAACUUUUAGUGUUCUUUCAAAUAGUUUAGCAUUACCAUGUUCAUUUGACCUUAAAGAGAUUACGUUAUGAAUUUCUUUUUUUUUUUUUUCAGU